rnacentral:rRNA from 1 species
GACGAACGCUGGCGGCGUGCUUAACACAUGCAAGUCGAGCGGCAAGGCCCUUUCGGGGGUACACGAGCGGCGAACGGGUGAGUAACACGUGGGUGACCUGCCCUCAGCUCUGGGAUAAGCCUGGGAAACUGGGUCUAAUACUGGAUAUGACUCCACGGUGCAUGUCGUGGGGUGGAAAGCCUUGUGCGGCUGAGGAUGGGCCCGCGGCCUAUCAGCUUGUUGGUGGGGUGAUGGCCUACCAAGGCGACGACGGGUAGCCGGCCUGAGAGGGCGACCGGCCACACUGGGACUGAGACACGGCCCAGACUCCUACGGGAGGCAGCAGUGGGGAAUCUUGCGCAAUGGGCGAAAGCCUGACGCAGCGACGCCGCGUGAGGGAUGAC